CAUUUGGCAGGCUACCCCAGACCCAUGUGGAGCAGAGGAAACACUGGUGGCAUACAGGGAGUGCAAGACCCUGAAGAGAAUAUGCUGAGGUCCUGAAGUGUGCAGGUGGGGCUUAAUGAGCUAGGUCAUAGUUAAUUAUAUGUGUCCACUUGAAAGGUGUUUUUUGGAUGACUCCACUCUCCCUCAUCUCUUCUGGAAAAUAAAAGGAAUCAGAAAUUUCUAGAAGCCAAGAACCAAAUGAACGAAGUCAAAAUUAUGCCCUAAGGCAAGCCUUCCCCUCCAUGCUUAGAGCUAGCUCAAGGUGUGUGAAUGCCUCUCCAGGUCCAGUUUCUUGGUGCCACAGAAGGGUCAGCAUUGAUUCUUACCCUGCUCAAUUUGCUUCAACCCAGUGGGGCCUUGUU
rnacentral:lncRNA from 1 species